GGAGUGAUGACCUUUCGGGCUUUAGGAAGAGUGGGCUGAAGAUCUGUCCAGAGAGUGAUUCAAGCUGGAGCAGGUCCUGCAGAGGCCGCUCUGCUGGAGGAAGUGUCAGUUUUCUAACUGGAGAAGACUGGAGACAGAGGGAAGAGAAGUGGACAGCAAAAGGGAGCAAUGGGGUACUCUGCUAAAUGGAGUAAAGCAUCAAACUUGACCUGUUCAUUGGCUGAGGUUGUUACUGCCAGAAAGGAAAAG